AAUUAGAAAGUGAACCGAUUACAUCUAGUUUCGACCUAGACUUUGGCACCUUUUUGCCUCUAAUUA
rnacentral:tRNA from 1 species